UCUCACUCUCUCAGAUUGUGUAAGAGAAAAGAAAAAGGGAAAUUAAGCAAAAAAAAAGAAAGAGAAAGAGGAGAAGUAGAAGAUCUUGAAGAGGAAAGGGUGUCCAGGAGCGUGAAUUAGAGUGCUAUAUACAUCCGAUUCGGUACAAUUUAAGUGUUUUCGGGCAAUCGUGAGGAGAGGGUAAGUGCGUAAGUAGCAUUUCUUUUACCUGAGUCGACGUAGCGAGUCGAGAUGGGUUCCGAGUCGCCGAAAAUGGUGAAUUUCCUCUUAUGUCUAUUUUGGCACAAGUUAUAUAUUUUCUAUCGAUCCUUAUAUGAAACUUGAAUUGCGCAUAUAAUCUACUUUCAAUCGGUCCUCAUUUUGUGAAAAUUGAAGCACGAACAUGAAAUUUAGCAUUGAAACAUGACUAGGAGCAUGAGUAUGAAUAUAAACCUAUCUAUUGUGACUUGUCUAUAGUAUAUUUGAAAGAUAUUACAUGAUUGUUAUCCUUUUCUUGCGUUGAUCAUGCUAUGCAUCACAGGAUCUUUUUGGACAUUUGAUAUUGAGUUGAGAUAUGUGUGACUAGUUCCUUUAGACAUCUUGUGUUGAGUUGAUUAUAGUAUGUGCAUAUCUCGUGAUUGUGGACUAUAGCCUGCAGAUGCCAUUUUGAGUUGACAGGAUAUGUGCUAUGAUACUCGGUAGUGGUCGCUCCCCUCGAAUGCCGCUCCGGAUGCUAGCCAUUGAUAGUAGAGACAAUAGCAUAGGGGUCAUCGUCACACCUGUGGGAGUGUGUCCGCGCACUAAGCAGGCGCAGGCUUGACCGGACCUAUGAGUUGGUCAUGGCGAUUGGGUUUCAUGACUGUAUUUCUUUAUUCUUGUACACUGAAAUGGCCAUAUAGAAGUAACUUGACAUAUACAAUUGGAAUUGUAUAUCUACAUAUGAUAUUCUAUCCUAUGUCUUGACUAAUAAUCUGUGCAUUGCUUUCAUGUUUCCUAUGUGUAGUGAAUACCUAGAAUACUAUUUGACAGUAGUUUAAUUCUUAUUA